GCGGUCCCACCUGUCAGCUAGACGCCUUUUUUUUUACUGGAAACCCGGCUUCUUUGAAGUUGAGAUUGAAGGGGCGGCCGGGCGGCGGCGGCGGCGGCGUGAUCGCAAGAGGUUCCGUCCACUGCCACCCCUACGCAAGAGAAGAGGGUGAUUCGUCGGGAUCCCAGUUCGAGAAAGAAGAUGAGCUCGGACUUGGAGAAAUCCAAGAACAAAAGGGCCAUGGCGGCCGUUCCGGAGGAAGUCCUGGCGAAGAAGAGGAAUCUGGGGAGGGAGGAAGGGCAGGAAGAAGAAGAGAAAAAGGACUCGCCUGCUCUACUUCCCAUGCCCAGAGGGAGCCGUGGCUGCUUCAUCGAUCCCAGGUGGCUCACCGCCAAGAUUGCAAAGGAUAAAAUGGAUGCCGCAAAAUUAGCAGCUCCCAUUCCCCCGGUGAAGAUUCCUACGCUUGAGCACUUUAAACCCCCGCCCAGGUUUCACACACGGGCGCUUCUCCCCUUGCGUGAAUCUGGAAGCAAGGCGGCGCUCUCCGCUGCUAAAUCUCUUGUUGGGAUUUCAUCAUCUCUUGAUAUAGGUAGCAAGCCUCUAAAGCGGUGCUCUGGUUUAUUGAUUGAUUGGGACGAGGAGAGCAAAACCUGCGUUGUUUUGACAACUGCACAUCUGAUUCGCACAAAGGAUUCUCCUGUCAAUGUCUGGUUUGGCGGAGAAGAGUAUACUUCCAAUGCUGAUGUCACUGUUCAUUUACUAGAUGGCACUAGUGAAAAGGGACAGCUGCUGUACUACCAGCCACACUAUGAUCUUGCUUUUGUGCGGGUUAAAGUGGACCAGCCUAUCCAGUUGCCGUCUUUCAGUGAAGAAGUGACAUUUGCUGAAGAAGUUCUUCGGCUAGGACGAGACAAUAUGUUAGAUCUACGGAUAACUUAUGGUAGAGCUGCAUAUCAGAAUCCAGUUAUUGAUGAGCGGUAUCAUUACAUGUACUUUGAUUGUGCAGAUGAUGAUAACGACGAUGACGAGUAUGACAGCGGAGGGCUAGUCAUUAGCUUGGAUGGAAAAAUUGUUGGAAUGUUCAACAUUAGCUCGAGGGGGUCUUUCAUACCUUCUUCUAUUUUGCUCAGUUGUGUGGAUUUGUGGAAGAAAUAUGGGCGCAUCCCCCGGCCCCAACUUGGAAUGGCGUUUGAGGCCAUCAAGCUUCUAGAGCCUGCUCAUGUUGACAAGAUAUGGCGCAUGUGCCACAUUGAUGAUGGUCUUGUUGUUCAAGAGGUCUUGAAAGGAUCUCCUGCUGAUAAAUUUGGAAUCGAAAGAGGUGAUAUUGUUGAGUGUUUCAAUGGAGAAUCCAUUUCUAAUACUGUUGAGUUGGAGAAUAGGUUGAUGAACACAUGCAAGGGCCUUUCAGACAAUUAUAAUGACCUUAUUGAAGUUCAUGUUUCUGUUGGGGUGUUUCACACGCUUAAAAAACAGCGAAGGAUUGGAGAGUUGACUGUAAGUGUAUCCGAUCUUGGAGAAGUUAUUGCAAGAGGUUCAAGAAAAAUCUCCUAAUUCUCUGCUUCUUAGGUCUGUCUAGAGUCCUUGGAGAAGGUUUGCCAACCCAUAGGAUUCUGGGCAUGAAUUUUGUGUUGUGUGACAUGUUGCAAAGAACGUGGAUUAAAUCCUACUGUCUCAUGAACUCGCUGCCAGAAAAGGGAUGCCAGGCUACUAGAUGUUUCUGUGCUGGGCGUACUGUGUUGGAUACUUGACCUGUGACCAUAGCCAGUACUCUAGAUAUUAGAAAUGACUUUAUAAUUUCUAUAUAUGAGUAAACUGCACAAUCCGCCGGAAAAGCUUUUUGGGUGUGUCGAAUAGCAACACACCACAUUGAUCC